rnacentral:rRNA from 1 species
UGCGCAGGCGGUUUUGUUAAGCGAGAUGUGAAAGCCCUGGGCUCAACCUAGGAAUAGCAUUUCGAACUGGCGAACUAGAGUCUUGUAGAGGGGGUAGAAUUCCAGGUGUAGCGGUGAAAUGCGUAGAGAUCUGGAGGAAUACCGGUGGCGAAGGCGGCCCCCUGGACAAAGACUGACGCUCAUGCACGAAAGCGUGGGGAGCAAACA